rnacentral:rRNA from 1 species
UACGGAGGGUGCAAGCGUUUAUCCGGAUUCACUGGGUUUAAAGGGUGCGUAGGUGGGUUGGUAAGUCAGUGGUGAAAUCCCCGAGCUUAACUUGGGAACUGCCAUUGAUACUAUCAGUCUUGAAUACCGUGGAGGUCAGCGGAAUAUGUCAUGUAGCGGUGAAAUGCUUAGAUAUGACAUAGAACACCAAUUGCGAAGGCAGCUGGCUACACGAAUAUUGACACUGAGGCACGAAAGCGUGGGGAUCAAACAGG